rnacentral:sRNA from 1 species
AACCCACAGAAAGGAGGUGAUCCAGUGUCGAGAAAGGUAUUGGAGAAGUGUGUCGGGACAGCUUGGGAGGUUCGUUCCUGAGGCAGCCCUCGGGGAUGACGACCCCAGGUGGAUGCGUCUAACCGACCCCACCUCCUGAACUUUCGAAGGGCCGCCUCCAUCGGCCGGGGGCGGCCC